rnacentral:rRNA from 1 species
GACGAACGUUGGCGGCGUGCUUAAUACAUGCAAGUCAACUGAAGCAGUGGUAGCAAUAUCGCUGUGGAGGUGGCGCACGGGUGAGUAACACGUAGGUAAUCUGCCUUCAGGUCUGGCAUAACUCCGGGAAACCGGGGCUAAUAGCAGAUGAUGCAGCGGCUCGACAUCGAGACAGUUGUUAAAGCUAUGGCGCCUGAAGAUGAGCCUGCGUCUGAUUAGCUAGUUGGCGGGGUAACGGCCCAACAAGGCAACGAUCAGUAGCUGGUCUGAGAGGAUGAUCAGCCACACUGGAACUGAGACACGGUCCAGACUCGUACGGGAGGGAGCAGUAAGGAAUAUUGCUCAAUGGGAGAAAUCCUGAAGCAGCAACGCCGCGUGAGGGACGAAGGGCUUUUGCUUGUAAACCUCUGUAGUGAGAGAAAAAAAUCCCAAUCUUUGGGACAUGAUGGUAUCUCAAAAGUAAGCCCCGGCUAACUACGUG